GCGUCGAAGGUAUACCGGUAAGGAGUGCUGGAGCGAAUAGAAGUGAGCAUGCAGGCAUGAGUAGCGAUAAUUAAUGUGAGAAUCAUUAACGCCGUAAACCCAAGGUUUCCUACGCGAUGCUCGUCAUCGUAGGGUUAGUCGGGUCCUAAGCCGAGUCCGAAAGGGGUAGGCGAUGGCAAAUUGGUUAAUAUUCCAAUACCAACAUUAGUGUGCGAUGGAAGGACGCUUAGGGCUAAGGGGGCUAGCGGAUGGAAGUGCUAGUCUAAGGUCAUAGGAGGUUAUACAGGCAAAUCCGUAUAACAAUACUCCGAGAACUGAAAGGCUUUUUGAAGUCUUCGGAUGGAUAGAAGAACCCCUGAUGCCGUCGAGCCAAGAAAAGUUUCUAAGUUUAGCUAAUGUUGCCCGUACCGUAAACCGACACAGGUGGGUGGGAUGAGUAUUCUAAGGCGCGUGGAAGAACUCUCUUUAAGGAACUCUGCAAAAUAGCACCGUAUCUUCGGUAUAAGGUGUGGUUCGCUUCGUACUAGGAUUUACUCCGAAAGCGAAGAAACUUACAACAAAGAGUCCCUCCCGACUGUUUACCAAAAACACAGCACUCUGCUAACUCGUAAGAGGAUGUAUAGGGUGUGACGCCUGCCCGGUGCUCGAAGGUUAAUUGAUGGGGUUAGCAUUAGCGAAGCUCUUGAUCGAAGC
rnacentral:rRNA from 1 species